CACUCAGCGUCACAGAGCAGCUCUGGGAGAGGAUGCUGUUUGUUGACAGUGCGGUGAUCUAAAGCAAGACCGUGCAGAACUGAAUUAUCUGCCAGAGAAGCAGCCGGGGUGGGGAACCUCCGGCCUCCAGGCCGUACACGGCCCGCGAAACCAUUUGAUCCAGCCCUCGAGUAACCCUCCACCACCUCUGGCAAGAUGCUGUCGUCCUCCUCCAUGUCCUCCGUCACGGUCUUACCGACCAGCUGGAAGAUGUCCCCGGCCGUGACGCCCAUGGGCUCGGCCACCUUCACCGCCAACAUGUCCAGAGUCAGGACAGUUCCUUUGGGGAUCUUGACUUUGGCCACCACAGACUUACCCAGCUGGAAGAAAAGAAAGAAGUGUGAUGGGUUCACUCUCACCUUUUUUGGCAGUCUUCUCCAGAUAGGGGAAGUUGUUGGUGUCUGCAGAGGCCACUUUAAAGAAAG